AUGGACAGAGGCUAAGAGAGGGGGACAAAAGGGAGUGGAAAGACUAGAGAGCUGGGAAUGGGAGGAGGGCAACACAGAGGGGAGGCGCUGUGAAGCGGGGCAGUGCGCUGCAGCUCCUCCCAGGCAGCCCGGGAAGUUUGCUGAGCAUCCCUGAGACACCGCAGAGCGCUGCCUCGCUGCAGGGGAGAGUCACACGGUGCUGCUGGGGCGGAGGUUCAGCUGGACUCGGCGCGUUUGCUGGCUGGUCCCUGCUUGGCCCGGAACAGAGUCGGAGAGUGGAGAAAGCAGGAAGCCAGAAAGAAGCCGCUUCGGGGGCAUUUGCCUGAGACCAGCGCAGCUGCAGGCGCGCCAGACCCGCACCCACACGCAGGGGACUAGGAGGACACCCACAGAGACACCCCAUCUUCUCCAGGAUGCUGGCGGAAUGCCCCCGAGCGGCAGAGGCGAGCUGGGAGUGUGCAGGCAAUAGCUCGGGUGUAAACGUGGCGGAGUGCGAGCUGCCUAGUUUCCAGCCCCUGUCGGCUUCUAACGAAUGCAUGGGAGUGAGCCCAGCGAAUCCGAACGUUUACGCCUGUGGCUCCAGCCUGAGCCGGACACGACGCGGGGUAGAUGCUAGUCGGGCAGAGGGCAAGGGACCCGGUGUGGGGAUUUAAAGCGGAGCGUGCUGUUUUGACAGGUUCUUGAUUUCACUGCCACUGCUGGAUGUUGACAUGCAACAACUACUGAAGCCUGGGGCAUCCUCAAACGACUCAGAGAACUUCGUUAGAGAAUGUGACUUGAACUCCCUCUUGUGGAAAGAUAUUGGAAUUAAACUUUCAUGAU
rnacentral:lncRNA from 1 species